CCCCAAACCAUUUAAAAUUAAAAUUAAAUUAAAAAAAACUUCAAAUUACACCUCUAUGAUUUCACACUUUCUCAUUUAGUAUCUUAUAGUUUAAAGUAUAUCAACUUUUUAUUCUGUGAUUUUAUUUUUAUCUUUUUAUUAUCGAUUCUACUAAUUUUUUUAUUAAAUUAAUGACAAAGUUAAAACUAAUCGGUAUUAAAGUGAAUAUUCGAUAAACGUAGAUGAGGUAUCUGAAGUUUUUUGUAUAUAAUUUAAUGAAAUAUUAACGAAAAUGGUGACGAAAAGAUAAAAAUGAAAUCACGGGAUAUUAACUUGUUACACUUUAAAUUACAAAGUAUUAAAGUAAAAAAAUAGAAAAUUAUAGGGGUGGUUUCUAAAGUUUACCCUAAAUUAAAACCACAUCUCUCUCUAUAUAUACACACACGCACNAAUUAUAAACAAUUCAAAAAUUAAGAUUUAAUUUAUUGAUUAUAUUUUAUAAUAUUUGAAAUAUUUAUGUAUUAAAAAUUAUAAACUUUAAAUACAUUUAUUAAAGUAAAAUUAUAUAUUUUUUUUGACUUGAUCUACGAUGCACCAGAUAUAUGAAAUACACCAAAUGGACACCUGUCCCACAAACAAAAAUCCCACACGGACUUUAGUAUAUAGUAAUGGCCGUAGAAAAUUAUGUGUAAGCAACUCUUAUCCUUUUCUUCUUUUUUUUUUGUACCACGUGGCGCUCAGACGUGCGUCCAACUCGUCCGAACGAGAUACAUGGUCGGACUCUUUCCGAGGUUUCGUUAACACGUUCCCGUGCGGGGCCCACAUGAUGUUUGUGACGUGUCCUGUGUGGGCCCCGCGUGAGCUUUGAGAUGGCACUCUGAUGGCCACGUAUACCACUUAUGGCGCACGUUAGGACACAUUCAAAUUGUACCCCAAAGUAUUCCCUUUCUCCGUACUAUUUAGACUUCGUUUAGGAUUGCUGGGAGAAUGCGUUACGUGCGGUGAGAAACGACGAUGGAAAAAUACCUCGUUUGUUUCCAUACGUAAUAUUGCGUUCCGCAUAUCGCGAUGAGUCGAUUAUGAUAUAUUUUUCGCGGUCUCACCGGAGAACGCAGAAGCAUCUCCCUAUAUACUUUUUUCUCAACUCCAUUUUAUCUAAUAGCGUUAGAUAAAUCUCAAUACCAAACUAAGCCUUAGUGCGAUUCAUGAGGAUUAUGAGUUGGAUUAUUUAGCACCAAUCUUAGAUUAUAAAAAAAAUGUGGGUCCGUACAUGUUCAAUUAUAAUUUGAUAUUGAAAAGUAUAAAAAAUAAAAAAUUAUUACUGAACUAAUCUUGAAAACUUAUGACACUCGUAAUUAAUUCAUACAGUGAAACGAAAUAACAUAACUACUAAAUUCGUAUAUGCGAACUAAUGACUUUGUCUUAUGCCGAGAUAAUGUUAGCAAUAACUAACACUGAAUUGAUUUUUAAUUUACACAUAUCUUAUCGCUUUGUCCCUAAUAAUUUUAAAGUGAGAAACACUUUUGUGGGUACGUUUUGGAGUACGCGAAACAUGCUCCAAACACACCACACACCCGGUGGGCCCUAGAAGGUACCCGAAGGUGUCCCCAAACCAUUUAAAAUUAAAAUUAAAUUAAAAAAAACUUCAAAUUACACCUCUAUGGUUUCACAGUUUUUCAUUUUAGUAUCUUAUAGUUUAAAGUAUAUCAACUUUCUGUUCUGUGAUUUUAUUUUAUCUUUUUAUUAUCGAUUCUACUAAUUUUUUUAUUAAAUUAAUGAUAAAGUUAAAACCAAUCGGUAUUAAAGUGAAUAUUCGAUAAACGUAGAUGAGGUAUCUGAAGUUUUUUGUAUAUAAUUUAAUGAAAUAUUAACGAAAAAGGUGACGAAAAGAUAAAAAUGAAAUCACAGGAUAUUAAUUUGGUACACUUUAAAUUAUAAAGUAUUAAAGUAAAAAAUAGAAAAUUAUAGGGGUGGUUUUUAAAGUUUAU
rnacentral:lncRNA from 1 species